UUAACUAAAGCCAAAGCGAGGCCCCCCAUUGUUAAUGGGAAAAUUGAUUAACUUAAAUCUAGUUAAA
rnacentral:tRNA from 1 species